rnacentral:rRNA from 1 species
AAGGCUGAAAUUCGCCUUCAUGAAGCUGGAAUUGCUAGUAAUGGCAGGUCAGCAUACUGCCGUGAAUACGUUCCCGGGCCUUGUACACACCGCCCGUCACACCAUGAGAGUUGGGAAUACCCGAAGCCUGUGAGCUAACUUUUAGAGGCAGCAGUCGAAGGUAGAAUCAAUGAUUGGGGUGAAGUCGUAACAAGGUACC